rnacentral:tRNA from 1 species
UCCUGGUGUUUCAGGUGGUAAAGAAUCUGCCUGCAAUGCAGGAGACCUAGGUUCGAUCCCUGGGUCAGGAA